UAGGGAAUCUUCGGCAAUGGGGGGAACCCUGACCGAGCAACGCCGCGUGAGUGAAGAAGGUUUUCGGAUCGUAAAGCUCUGUUGUUAAGGAAGAACGAGUGUGAGAAUGGAAAGUUCAUGCUGUGACGGUACUUAACCAGAAAGGGACGGCUAACUACGUGCCAGCAGCCGCGGUAAUACGUAGGUCCCGAGCGUUGUCCGGAUUUAUUGGGCGUAAAGCGAGCGCAUGCGGUUAGAAAAGUCUGAAGUGAAAGGCAGUGGCUCAACCAUUGUAGGCUUUGGAAACUGUUUAACUGGAGUGCAGAAGGGGAGGGUGGAAUUCCAGGUGUAGCGGUGAAAUGCGUAGAUAUAUGGAGGAACACCGGUGGCGAAAGCGGCUCUCUGGUCUGUAACUGACGAUGAGGCUCGAAAGCGUCGGGAGCGAACAGG
rnacentral:rRNA from 1 species